rnacentral:tRNA from 1 species
GACCGGUUAGCUCAGUCAGUUGAGCAUGGCGCUAACAACGCCAAGGUUGUGGGUUCGAUUCCCAUUUGGUCC